rnacentral:piRNA from 2 species
UGACAACAGUUACCUAGAGUUCGGUGCUCCC